rnacentral:rRNA from 1 species
UACGAAGGGUGCAAACGUUGCUCGGAAUUAUUGGGCGUAAAGCGCACGUAGGCGGCUUAGCAAGUCGGAUGUGAAAUCCCUCGGCUCAACCAAGGAAGUGCAUCCGAAACUGCUGAGCUUGAGUACGAAAGAGGAUCGCGGAAUUCCCGGUGUAGAGGUGAAAUUCGUAGAUAUCGGGAGGAACACCAGUGGCGAAGGCGGCGAUCUGGGUCGAUACUGACGCUGAGGUGCGAAAGCGUGGGUAGCAAACAGG